rnacentral:rRNA from 1 species
UACAGAGGUCUCAAGCGUUGUUCGGAUUCAUUGGGCGUAAAGGGUGCGUAGGUGGCGUGGUAAGUCGGAUGUGAAAAACCCAGGGCUCAACCUGGGCCUGCAUUCGAUACGGGCAGACUAGAGUUCGGUAGGGGAGACUGGAAUUCCUGGUGUAGCGGUGAAAUGCGCAGAUAUCAGGAAGAACACCAAUGGCGAAAGCAGCUUCUGGGACGGUACUGACGCUGAGACGCGAAAGCGUGGGGAGCGAACAGG